CCUACGGGAGGCAGCAGUGAGGAAUAUUGGUCAAUGGACGAGAGUCUGAACCAGCCAAGUAGCGUGAAGGAUGACUGCCCUAUGGGUUGUAAACUUCUUUUAUAUGGGAAUAAAAUGUUCCACGUGUGGGAUUUUGUAUGUACCAUAUGAAUAAGGAUCGGCUAACUCCGUGCCAGCAGCCGCGGUAAUACGGAGGAUCCGAGCGUUAUCCGGAUUUAUUGGGUUUAAAGGGAGCGUAGGUGGAUUGUUAAGUCAGUUGUGAAAGUUUGCGGCUCAACCGUAAAAUUGCAGUUGAAACUGGCAGUCUUGAGUACAGUAGAGGUGGGCGGAAUUCGUGGUGUAGCGGUGAAAUGCUUAGAUAUCACGAAGAACUCCGAUUGCGAAGGCAGUUCACUGGACUGCAACUGACACUGAGGCUCGAAAGUGUGGGUAUCAAACAGGAUUAGAUACGUGUGUAGUC
rnacentral:rRNA from 1 species